GGUGGCUCAGUGGUAGAGUGCUUGCCUUGCAGGCAUGGGGCCCUGGGUUCGACUUCUCAGCACCA
rnacentral:tRNA from 1 species